GUCUGGGGAUUUCUCAAAGCGCGGCGGCGGCGACAGAGGCAAUGCAAAUGUUGCCGCGGUGCUUCUUUCCUUCUCUUGCUCCCAGCCUUCUUCUCGGGCGAACGGUCCCGAGCGCAAGGUUUCCUCCCAGUUUCCCGCAUCUGCAUUCCGAGCGGCUGCCCGCGUGCGCGUCCUUCCCCGGGUGGCGGCGAGCGGCUCUGCGCACCCGCGGCCUCCGGCCUGGGCCUGGGCCUCUGCCGCCGCGGUGGGUGGUGCUCACGCCGCCCCCACCUUCCCCCGGGGCCUCGGAGAGCCGCGCGCUGGGCGUGUGCGCGCGCGCGCGCGGAGUCGGUGGGGGAAUCUCCUUCCGUGGAAGCUGCUGAGUGUCGCUGGCAGAGAGUAUUCUGGAGCCCAGCAAAAGCCUCCAAAGCACUUGAGCUUCCCCGAAAGAAACACAGAAUAAGAGACCGAAAAGGAGGGAAGCCCGCUCCCCGAAAGUCCGGGUUUCCAAUAGUCUCGGAUCCGCCCGGAGCUGAGCAGAGGCGCAGUUGGCGGCGGCCACUGCUCGCAGCCGGACUUGGAAAGACGGUUUCCCCCCCUUCGGGGAGGAGGGAGGUGAGGGACUCGCGGGCGAGAGUUGCACCGGGUCUAGGAACGCGCGGAGAGGAGAACUCCGGGCAGAGGGAGAGCGCGGCGCAGCGCCCCGGCUGAGCCCCCCCCCCCACCCGGGUUCCCCGCGCCCGAGCUGCUGGCGCGAAGUUCUUUCCGAGGAGAUGAGAAACUCCCCAAUCCCGGAGGGGGACCGGGCGGCCGGGGCCCAGGCGCCCCCAGGGUGGCCCGGGGCUCCGACGCCCGGGGCUCGCCUCCCCCUUCUGGGCGCGCUCAGCCUCGGCUCCCCGGCCCGGCCUCCUGCCUCCCCCCCCGGGGGCGGGGCGGCGGGGCUGCCCCGGGGGCUGGCGGCGGCGGCCGCUGCUGCGGGGCGGGGGGGGGGGACCCUCACCUGGGGGGGGCGGCCGCCGGCCAACAUAC
rnacentral:lncRNA from 12 species